GUAGUUAGCCGGGGCUUCCUCACAGGGUACCGUCACUUCUUCGUCCCCUGCGACAGAGGUUUACAAUCCGAAAACCUUCUUCCCUCACGCGGCGUUGCUGGGUCAGGCUUGCGCCCAUUGCCCAAUAUUCCCCACUGCUGCCUCCCGUAGGAGUCUGGACCGUGUCUCAGUUCCAGUGUGGCCGAUCAGCCUCUCAGCUCGGCUACCCAUCGUCGGCUUGGUGGGCUGUUAUCUCACCAACUACCUAAUGGGACGCGAACCCCUCUUACAGCGAUAAAUCUUUGACCUCAUCCCGAUGCCGGGUCGUGGUCUCAUGCGGUAUUAGCACCUGUUUCCAAGUGUUAUCCCCCUCUGUAAGGCAGGUUGUUCACGCGUUACUCACCCGUUCGCCACUAGAAUUAUAAAUUCCAUCCGAAAACUUCCUUCAUAAUCCCCGUUCGACUUGCAUGUGUUAGGCACGCCGCCAGCGUUCGUCCUGAGCCAUGAUCAAACUCUGA
rnacentral:rRNA from 1 species